UAAGAAGCAAGGACUGGCACGGCUAAGCAGGAAAGGAACAAGGACUGGCACGGCUAAGCAGGAAAGGAACAAGGACUGGCACGACUAAGCAUGUAAGAAGCAAGGACUGGCACGGCUAAGCAGGAAAGGAACAAGGACUGGCACGACUAAGCAUGUAAGAAGCAAGGACUGGCACGACUAAGCAGGUAAGGAACAAGGACUGGCACGGCUAAGCAGGAAAGGAACAAGGACUGGCACGACUAAGCAGGUAUGGAACAAGGACUGGCACGGCUAAGCAGGUAAGGAACAAGGUCUGGCACGACUAAGCAGGUAAGGAACAAGGUCUGGCACUGCUAAGCAGGUAAGGAACAAGGUCUGGCACGGCUAAGCAGGUAAGGAACAAGGUCUGGCACGACUAAGCAGGUAAGGAACAAGGUCUGGCACGGCUAAGCAGGUAAGGAACAAGGUCUGGCACUGCUAAGCAGGUAAGGAACAAGGUCUGGCACGGCUAAGCAGGUAAGGAACAAGGUCUGGCACGGCUAAGCAGGUAAGGAACAAGGUCUGGCACGGCUAAGCAGGUAAGGAACAAGGUCUGGCAAGGCUAAGCAGGUAAGGAACAAGGUCUGGCACGGCUAAGCAGGUAAGGAACAAGGUCUGGCAAGGCUAAGCAGGUAAGGAACAAGGUCUGGCACGACUAAGCAGGUAAGGAACAAGGUCUGGCACGACUAAGCAGGUAAGGAACAAGGUCUGGCACUGCUAAGCAGGUAAGGAACAAGGUCUGGCACGGCGAAG